UACGUAGGGUGCGAGCGUUAAUCGGAAUUACUGGGCGUAAAGCGUGCGCAGGCGGUCUCGCAAGUCCGAUGUGAAAUCCCCGGGCUCAACCUGGGAACUGCGUUGGAAACUACGAGGCUGGAGUACGGCAGAGGGGGGUGGAAUUCCACGUGUAGCAGUGAAAUGCGUAGAUAUGUGGAGGAACACCGAUGGCGAAGGCAGCCCCCUGGGCUAGUACUGACGCUCAUGCACGAAAGCGUGGGGAGCAAACAGGAUUAGAUACCCUGGUAGUCCACGCCCUAAACGAUGGCAACUAGUUGUUGGAGGAUGAACUCCUUUAGUAACGCAGCUAACGCGUGAAGUUGCCCGCCUGGGGAGUACGGUCGCAAGAUUAAA
rnacentral:rRNA from 1 species